rnacentral:rRNA from 1 species
AGUGAACGCUGGCGGUAGGCCUAACACAUGCAAGUCGAACGGCAGCACAGUAAGAGCUUGCUCUUACGGGUGGCGAGUGGCGGACGGGUGAGGAAUACAUCGGAACCUACUUUUUCGUGGGGGAUAACGUAGGGAAACUUACGCUAAUACCGCAUACGACCUACGGGUGAAAGCAGGGGAUCUUCGGACCUUGCGCGAUUGAAUGAGCCGAUGUCGGAUUAGCUAGUUGGCGGGGUAAAGGCCCACCAAGGCGACGAUCCGUAGCUGGUCUGAGAGGAUGAUCAGCCACACUGGAACUGAGACACGGUCCAGACUCCUACGGGAGGCAGCAGUGGGGAAUAUUGGACAAUGGGCGCAAGCCUGAUCCAGCCAUACCGCGUGGGUGAAGAAGGCCUUCGGGUUGUAAAGCCCUUUUGUUGGGAAAGAAAAGCAGCAGGUUAAUACCCCGCUGCUCUGACGGUACCCAAAGAAUAAGCACCGGCUAACUUCGUG